rnacentral:rRNA from 1 species
GACGAACGCUGGUGGCGUGCCUAAUACAUGCAAGUCGAGCGGACGAAUCGAAAGCUUGCUUUUGAUUCGUUAGCGGCGGACGGGUGAGUAACACGUGGGCAACCUGCCCUGUAGACGGGGAUAACACCGAGAAAUCGGUGCUAAUACCGGAUAACACGAAAUGUCGCAUGACGUUUCGUUGAAAGACGGCGCAAGCUGCCGCUACAGGAUGGGCCCGCGGCGCAUUAGCUAGUUGGUGAGGUAACGGCUCACCAAGGCGACGAUACGUAGCCGACCUGAGAGGGUGAUCGGCCACACUGGGACUGAGACACGGCCCAGACUCCUACGGGAGGCAGCAGUAGGGAAUCUUCCGCAAUGGACGAAAGUCUGACGGAGCAACGCCGCGUGAGCGAAGAAGGCCUUCGGGUCGUAAAGCUCUGUUGUUAGGGAAGAACAAGUAACGCAGUAACUGGCGUUACCGUGACGGUACCUAACGAGAAAGCCACGGCUAACUACGUG